ensembl:snRNA U6 U6 spliceosomal RNA
UUGCUUCAGCAGCAUGUGUGCCAAAAUUGAAAUGAUACAGAGAAGAAUAGCAUGGUUCUUGCACAAAGAUGACCUGCAAAUUUGUGAGAUGUUCCAUCUUUUU